UACGGAGGGUGCGAGCGUUAUCCGGAUUUAUUGGGUUUAAAGGGUGCGUAGGCGGUCCGUUAAGUCAGCGGUAAAAUUGCGGGGCUCAACCCCGUCGAGCCGUUGAAACUGGGGAUCUAGAGUGUGCGAGAGGUAUGCGGAAUGCGUGGUGUAGCGGUGAAAUGCUUAGAUAUCACGAAGAACCCCGAUUGCGAAGGCAGCCUGCCGCAGCGUUACUGACGCUGAAGCUCGAAAGUGUGGGUAUCAAACAGG
rnacentral:rRNA from 1 species